rnacentral:misc_RNA from 1 species
GUGAAUCAUCGAAUCUUUGAACGCACAUUGCGCCCUCUGGUAUUCCGGAGGGCACGCCUGUUCGAGCGCCAUUUCACCCCCCAAGCUCUGCUUGACGUUGGACGGAGCGAGGCCGCCCGUCCGAAACACGUGUGGCGCCGACCGUCGAGCACCAGCGUAGCAACACACUUUCGCUUCGUGCUCCGACGGCCGGCUGCCGUGAAAGCAACCACAAACCAGGUUGGCCUCGGAUCAGGUGGGGAUACCCGCUGAACUUAAGCAUAUCAAUAAGCGGAGGA